CGAGAUUCCCCCAGUAGCGGCGAGCGAACGGGGAGCAGCCCAGAGUCUGAAUCAGCUUGUGUGUUAGUGGAACGGUCUGGAAAGUCCGACGGUACAGGGUGAUAGUCCCGUACACCAAAAUGCACAGGUUGUGAACUCGAAGAGUAGGGCGGGACACGUGGUAUCCUGUCUGAAUAUGGGGGGACCAUCCUCCAAGGCUAAAUACUCCUGACUGACCGAUAGUGAACCAGUACCGUGAGGGAAAGGCGAAAAGAACC
rnacentral:rRNA from 2 species